CAUAAAGUAGAAAGCACUACUAAACGCUUGUGUCCAAGUGUAGUGUUUCCUACUUUAUGGA
rnacentral:pre_miRNA from 1 species